UACGUAGGGCGCAAGCGUUGUCCGGAAUUAUUGGGCGUAAAGAGCUCGUAGGCGGUCUGUUACAUCUGCUGUGAAAACCCAGGGCUUAACCCUGGGCUUGCAGUGGAUACGGGCAGACUAGAGGCAGGUAGGGGAGAAUGGAAUUCCCGGUGUAGCGGUGAAAUGCGCAGAUAUCGGGAGGAACACCGGUGGCGAAGGCGGUUCUCUGGGCCUGACCUGACGCUGAGGAGCGAAGGCCAGGGGAGCAAACGGG
rnacentral:rRNA from 1 species